UGUGGCUUGUGAGCGAGAUCAAUGGAGUCGUGCCAUUGCUGGGCGUGUGAAUGUGGCGCCACGGCAUUUGUCUGCCGAAGCUGAGACUCUCUUGUCUGCUACUCUCAUUCAUGAGGGUAUGCAUGUGUUGGGUUGUCAUCCACACGCCUUUGCUCACUUUCGAGAUGAGCGCAAGCGGAGGCGCAGAGAGGUGGUGGCACAAGAGUUCGACUCCAAUUUGAGGCGAAUGGUGACGCGAAUCGUUUUGCCCAGGGUGGUUGCGCGUUCACGGCAGCAUUAUGGGGCUUACUCCAAGGAUUUCAGUUGAUUAGAACUGGAAGAUGGUGGAGGGAGAGGGACGGCGGGGUCGCAUUGGGAGAAGCGAUUGUUGAUGAAUGAAAUAAUGACAGGGUCUGUGGACACAACGUUAAUGAAAUACCAGAGGACGAAGUCUGGAAUCCGUCACUGGCCGAGAAAACAAAAUAUGGACCUUUAAAUGAUUACUAAGCAAGCCAAGCAAUUGUGAUUAAAGCUAGAUGAGUCUUUGUUUGCUUAGAUUUGAUUGUACUUAGAAUAAAUCAGAGUGAUUGAUAGUUCUUAUAUGUGAAACAAAUGAAAUAUUCAUGAAUAUAUC